rnacentral:rRNA from 1 species
GUCAGCAGCCGCGGUAACACCGGCAGCUCUAGUGGUAACAAUUUUAUUGGGCCUAAAGCGUCCGUAGCCGGUUUAAUAAGUCUCUGGUGAAAUCCUGCAGCUUAACUGUGGGAAUUGCUGGAGAUACUAUUAGACUUGAGACCGGGAGAGGUUAGAGGUACUCCCAGGGUAGAGGUGAAAUUCUGUAAUCCUGGGAGGACCGCCUGUUGCGAAGGCGUCUAACUGGAACGGUUCUGACGGUGAGGGACGAAAGUUAGGGGCGCGAACCGGAUUAGAUACCCGGGUAGUCCUAACUGUAACGAUGCGGACUUGGUGUUGGGUGGCUUUGAGCUGCUUCAGUGCCGAAGGGAAGCUGUUAAGUCCGCCGCCUGGGAAGUACGGUCGCAAGACUGAACUUAAGGAAUUGGCGGGGGAGCACCACAACGCGUGGAGCCUGCGGUUUAAUUGGAUUCAACGCCGGACAUCUCACCAGAGGCGACAGCUGUAUGAUAGCCAGGUUGAUGACUUUGCUUGACUAGCUGAGGGGAGGUGCAUGG